rnacentral:rRNA from 1 species
UUAGAGUUUGAUCCUGGCUCAAGAUGAACUUUAGCGGCAGGCUUAACACAUGCAAGUCGAGGGGCAGCAUGUCCAGCAAUGGAUGAUGGCGACCGGCGGAAGGGUGCGUAACGCGUGAGCAACAUGCCCUAUACAGGGGAGAUACACCAGGGAAACUUGGUCUAAUAUCCCAUAGCAUUCAUUGAAGGCAUCUUUAAUGAAUUAAAGCUUCGGUGGUAUAGGAUUGGCUCGCGUGACAUUAGCCAGAUGGUGAGGUAACGGCUCACCAUAGCAAUGAUGUCUAGGGGUUUUGAGAGGAAGGCCCCCCACACUGGGACUGAGACACGGCCCAGACUCCUACGGGAGGCAGCAGUGAGGAAUAUUGGACAAUGGAUGGAAAUCUGAUCCAGCCAUGCCGCGUGCAGGAAGACGGCCUUAUGGGUUGUAAACUGCUUUUAUACGGGAGCAAUAAGGGUUACGAGUAAUCCGAUGAGAGUACUGUAUGAAUAAGGAUCGGCUAACUCCGUGCCAGCAGCCGCGGUAAUACGGAGGAUCCGAGCGUUAUCCGGAAUUAUUGGGUUUAAAGGGUGCGUAGGCGGCCAUUUAAGUCAGCGGUGAAAUUUUGCAGCUUAACUGUAACAGUGCCGUCGAUACUGUUUGGCUAGGAUUUGGUUGUAGUGUGCGGAAUGUGUGGUGUAGCGGUGAAAUGCUUAGAUAUCACACAGAACACCGAUUGCGAAGGCAGCACACUAAGUCAUUAUUGACGCUGAGGCACGAAAGUGUGGGGAUCAAACAAGAUUAGAUACCCUGGUAGUCCACACUGUAA